UCGCUUCUGUCGGUGUCGCCGGCCUCGGCGCCCACAAGGACGGGUGUGAUUCCCCUUCGCGCCUCGGUGGGUCUGUUUCGGUGGCGUCUGUGGUGGCUGACGAAACAUGCUUUGACAGGGAGCGAGCGAGGAUCAAUGACUACAACUCCCAGAAGGCCCCACUGAUGACGUUGACGGUGUUGUUUCGGGCUUUCCCACCACAGAUGUAAGGCUCAAUGGUCUAUAAUUAUCGGGACUAUCCCUACUACCCUUUUUGAACAAGGGGACAACAUUCGCCUCCCUCCAAUACUCCGGUACAAUUCCCGUGGACAAUGAGGACAUAAUGAUCUUCGCCAGAGGCUCAGCAAUCUAUUUCCUUGCCUCGGAUGCAGAACUGGGAAGCGCAGAUGGAGUUCACCACAGAUGAAGAGGUUCAUUUCUGCAGAUCAAAUUUGAACACACAAUAUAAUAUUAAUGUGAUCUUACUCCUGACGCCAGUCCCAGGACCCAACCCAUUUACAGACCCGGAGCAUAACGGGAGCAGAUCCUCAGCCACUGGUUUUCAUCCCCAGUCGCAAACCUCCAGAAACAUCUGUAGGGACGGACUCACCAAGUGGCCGGAGGGUAAUCACGCCUGUCCUUGUCGAAGCCGACGCCGGCGACCACUGACUUCAGCACCUCGCUGAACUCCACCUUGGCGAUGGAGCCGAAAAGGAGAAGCUCAGUGUGCGGCAGAAUUCCCCCAGUUCUAUCGUAGCUCAAACGUACCUCUAUCCCCUGCUGUCACUGGCUGAGGUGCCUGUCGGUCAAAUGAGAACUCAGACUAUAAUUAGUUAAUAUGAACGUCAGUCAGACUUGCAAGUAGUUAAAGCGAAUCGUUGCAAAGUGUUUCCAGUGAGGGAAGAGACUGUAACGUCAGUGGACACAUGUCGGCAAACCUGUUCUCUCAUUAAAGAUAAUUUACUGCUGGAUUGUAAAUCACAACAUGAAUAU